rnacentral:tRNA from 1 species
GGGGAUUUAGCUCAGUGGCAGAGCACUUGCCUAGCAAGCACAAGGCCCUGGGUUCGGUCCCCAGCUCCA